ensembl:lncRNA
UGGUUUUACCCCACACAUAGCCUAAAUGUCUGCAUCCAUAUCAUGUUCUGUUAAACAAUUAAGCCUAUUUAAACUAACACAGACUUCUACUCAGCCAACAGAAAGAAAGCAGAUGCCCGUAAAACAGGAGGUGGCCCAGCAGCACCACCUCUAACGGAGGCAGAGGAGCUGGUCCUAAGCCAGAAUUUGGGAAGGCCAGUGGCUGAGGGAAUCCCUGGAGGGAGCUCAUCCUCUGAGACCACAUCCCAAGACACAAGUGCUUUUAUAAAAUAUUCUGAUGGUACUAUCUGCCUGGUGGAGCCCCUUCACACCACAACAGACCUUGUAACUGAUGAAGAGGAUGAAACUGUGUCUGCUGCCUUUACAGAGGGGG